rnacentral:rRNA from 1 species
GUCUAUUUGGAGUUAUAAAAAGUCUAACCUGCCCCCUGAAAAUUUAAGGGCCGCAGUAUUAUGACUGUGCAAAGGUAGCAAAAUCAUUAGGUUUUUAAAUGGAAUCUUGUAUGAAGGGUUGGUCAAAGGGAAAGCUGUCUUUAUUUUAAAAUUUGAAUUUUACUUUUAAGUGAGAAGGCUUAAAUAUUUUAGAGGGACGAUAAGACCCUAUAUUGCUUUACAUUGAAUAUAUAUUUGAUUAAAUUUAAAAAUAAAAAUUUAAUAUAGUUAUUUGUUUUAUUGGGGAGAUAGAAGUAUAAAUAAUAUUAGCUGUUUUUGAUUAAAAACUUUAUUUAUGGAUAAAUUMUAAUGG